rnacentral:rRNA from 1 species
AUACGUAGGGUGCAAGCGUUAAUCGGAAUUACUGGGCGUAAAGCGUGCGCAGGCGGUUUAUAUAAGACAGAUGUGAAAUCCCCGGGCUCAACCUGGGAACUGCAUUUGUGACUGUAUAGCUAGAGUACGGUAGAGGGGGAUGGAAUUCCGCGUGUAGCAGUGAAAUGCGUAGAUAUGCGGAGGAACACCGAUGGCGAAGGCAAUCCCCUGGACCUGUACUGACGCUCAUGCACGAAAGCGUGGGGAGC